rnacentral:rRNA from 1 species
UACAUGGGGUGCAAACGUUGCUCGGAAUUAUUGGGCGUAAAGCGCACGUAGGCGGUUCGUUAAGUCGGAUGUGAAAGCCCUCGGCUCAACUGAGGAAGUGCACCCGAAACUGGCGAGCUUGAGUACGAAAGAGGAUCGCGGAAUUCCCGGUGUAGAGGUGAAAUUCGUAGAUAGUCGGGGAGGAACACCAAUGGCGAAGGCAGCUCGCUGGGACGGUACUGACGGCUGAGGCGCGAAAGCGUGGGGAGCAACAGG